rnacentral:rRNA from 1 species
CCUACGGGAGGGCAGCAGUAAGGAAGUAUUGGUCAAUGGACGCAAGUCUGAACCAGCCAUGCCGCGUGCAGGAUGAAGGCCCUCUGGGUUGUAAACUGCUUUUAUAGGGGACGAAAAAGGGACUUUCUAGUUCAACUGACGGUACCCUAGGAAUAAGCACCGGCUAACUCCGUGCCAGCAGCCGCGGUAAUACGGAGGGUGCAAGCGUUAUCCGGAUUUACUGGGUUUAAAGGGUGCGUAGGUGGGUCGGUAAGUCAGCGGUGAAAUCUUCGAGCUUAACUCGGAAACUGCCAUUGAUACUAUCGACCUUGAAUCAUCUAGAGGUAAGCGGAAUAUGUCAUGUAGCGGUGAAAUGCUUAGAUAUGACAUAGAACACCAAUUGCGAAGGCAGCUUACUAUGGAUGCAUUGACACUGAGGCACGAAAGCUGGGGAUCAAACAGGAUUAGAUACCCUGGUAGUCACGCCCUAAACGAUGGAUACUCGACAUCAGCGAUACACUNUUGGUGUCUGAGCGAAAGCAUUAAGUAUCCACCUGGAGUACGAUGCAAGAUUGAAACCUANAAUGAAUUGACGNNGAGAGAGCGAGGAGACGAGAGGGAGAGG